UACGGGGGGGGCAAGCGUUGUUCGGAAUUACUGGGCGUAAAGGGUUCGUAGGUGGCCAACUAAGUCAGACGUGAAAUCCCUCAGCUUAACUGGGGAACUGCGUCUGAGACUGGAUGGCUUGAGUGCAGGAGAGGAACGCGGAAUUCCAGGUGUAGCGGUGAAAUGCGUAGAUAUCUGGAGGAACACCGGUGGCGAAGGCGGCAUCCUGGACCGACACUGACGCUGAUGAGCGAAAGCCAGGGGAGCAAACGGG
rnacentral:rRNA from 1 species